UGUUAUUAUUUUCUACAACAUCCAGUCAUGGGUUAAUGAAACCGAAAUAUUUUGUUUGAAUAGAUGUCAUCUUUGAGUUUAACAAAAUCUUAUCAAAACAGAAAGAAAAAAGUAUUAUGUAGUACUAUAAUACUCUUCAAUUUUUUAUUUUUUUUUAUCAGGUGAACGACCUGUGUCCCCAUGAGAAGUUUCAUAUACGCUCACAACUCCACAGAAUUCGGACCUCGACUCCAAUCUACACCAAAUGAAAGUUCCAAACCUCAGUUCCCCUAAAUCAAAAGUUCAAAUCCUCGGUCCACAAAAUUUUGAAUUUUGUGGUUUAUCGUUGGUUUAUUGUACCCGUGGAACUGAGGUUUGGAACUUUCAUUUGGUGUGGACUAGAGUCGAAGUCUGGAUUCUGUAGAAUUAUGAGCGUAUAUGAAACUUUCUACGGGGACACAGGUCGUUCACCCUUUUUUAUGAAAGAUAAGUCAUGAAAGAUUUUGUAACAUAUUAAACUGUGUGAAAAAUGCUGCUACAAGUAUUAAAUAAGCCCAUAUGCUUU
rnacentral:sRNA from 1 species